rnacentral:rRNA from 1 species
AGAGUUGAUCCUGGCUCAGGAUGAACGCUGGCGGCGUGCUUAACACAUGCAAGUCGAACGAUUAAACCGGCCCUCGGGCGGACAUAGAGUGGCGAACGGGUGAGUAACACGUGACCAACCUGCCCCGCACUCCGGGAUAACCUGCGGAAACGCAGGCUAAUACCGGAUACUCCGCGCAGGCCGCAUGGCCCGCGCGGGAAAGCCCUUACGGUGCGGGAUGGGGUCGCGGCCCAUUAGGUAGACGCGGGGUGACGGCCCACCCGUGCCCGCGAUGGGUAGCCGAGCUGAGAGGCUGACCGGCCACAUUGGGACUGAGAUACGGCCCAGACUCCUACGGGAGGCAGCAGUGGGGAAUUUUGCGCAAUGGGGGGCCAACCCUGACGCAGCAACGCCGCGUGCGGGAAGAAGGCCUUCGGGUUGUAAACCGCUUUCAGCGGGGACGAUAAUGACGGUACCCGCAGAAGAAGCUCCGGCUAACUACGUGCCAGCCGCGGC